rnacentral:rRNA from 1 species
AUAGCCUUUCGAAAGAAAGAUUAAUACCCGAUAGUAUAUCAAGGUCGCAUGAUCUUGAUAUUAAAGAAUUUCGGUUAUCGAUGGGGAUGCGUUCCAUUAGUUAGUUGGCGGGGUAACGGCCCACCAAGACGACGAUGGAUAGGGGUUCUGAGAGGAAGGUCCCCCACAUUGGAACUGAGACACGGUCCAAACUCCUACGGGAGGCAGCAGUGAGGAAUAUUGGUCAAUGGACGAGAGUCUGAACCAGCCAAGUAGCGUGAAGGAUGACUGCCCUAUGGGUUGUAAACUUCUUUUAUAUGGGAAUAAAACAGGGUAUGCAUACCCUCUUGUAUGUACCAUAUGAAUAAGGAUCGGCUAACUCCGUGCCAGCAGCCGCGGUAAUACGGAGGAUCCGAGCGUUAUCCGGAUUUAUUGGGUUUAAAGGGAGCGUAGGUGGAUUGUUAAGUCAGUUGUGAAAGUUUGCGGCUCAACCGUAAAAUUGCAGUUGAAACUGGCAGUCUUGAGUACAGUAGAGGUGGGCGGAAUUCGUGGUGUAGCGGUGAAAUGCUUAGAUAUCACGAAGAACUCCGAUUGCGAAGGCAGCUCACUGGACUGCAACUGACACUGAGGCUCGAAAGUGUGGGUAUCAAACAGGAUUAGAUACCCUGGUAGUCCACACAGUAAACGAUGAAUACUCGCUGUUUGCGAUAUACGGUAAGCG